UUUUAGUUUCGGCGGACACAACAUCUUUGUUUGUAUGUGGUGCUGAGGAUCGAACCCAGGCCACACGCAUGCCAGGAGAGCGCCCUACCGCUUGAGCCACAUCCCCAACCCUGGAGGAACUUUAGAGUUGAAGGUUAGCAGUGAGUCAGCACAGGAAUGCAGCACAGGUAAGCAGUUGUGGAUUUCAGCAAAAUCCCUUUGAUAAUUUU
rnacentral:lncRNA from 1 species